UAGUUUGUAGAGUGGUUAGCGUGUCGUUCUUAUAUCUAUCGGGAAUCUGAUAAAUAUGGCUAUGCGAAAGUCGUGGGUUCGACACCCACCUGGAGUAA